ACGUUAGCGGCGGACGGGUGAGUAACACGUGGGUAACCUACCUAUAAGACUGGGAUAACUUCGGGAAACCGGAGCUAAUACCGGAUAAUAUUUCGAACCGCAUGGUUCGAUAGUGAAAGAUGGUUUUGCUAUCACUUAUAGAUGGACCUGCGCCGUAUUAGCUAGUUGGUAAGGUAACGGCUUACCAAGGCGACGAUACGUAGCCGACCUGAGAGGGUGAUCGGCCACACUGGAACUGAGACGCGGUCCAGACUCCUACGGGAGGCAGCAGUG
rnacentral:rRNA from 1 species